AUUCUGGAGGAGUGAGCGGACGGCACAAUUGGUCUGGAGACAGACAGAUCGCACCUGCAUUUACAGAAGCAAAUGGAGAAUGUCCUACGUCUACCACACCUCUCACACACACUUGCUCCGCCCCGCCCUAGUUAUCUGUGCCUAACUUGGAGAGUCCUCUACGGAAGUCAUGGAGGUCGUCGAUCUUUCCAUCCAGCACCUCAAGGAAGCUCUUCAGCUCCCCCUUCAGGUGGCGCUGUCGGUAUUUACUCUCCUCGAUGUCUGUCUUUAGAGACCGCACUUUGUCUUCCAAGUUUUGAUUGUCUCUUUCGGCCGCCUGAUGAGACAAAAGGGAGAAGGAUCUAGAAGGCAGUGACGGAUGGAACCAUCAUGAAAACGGCUGAACCCUGACAAACGCUCACCACUCAAGUCAGAAAGGGGGCCACCUGGUCAAGAGGACUGGAGUGAGGAAUCCAUUGGAGGAGGAGAAGAAAACCCCUCGCUUUAUAGAUGGUAACGAGGAAGGCCGAUCUACAGUCAGCACUCUAGCAAGAGCUGGAAGAGGCCAAGGUGGGCUUAUACCUGACCCUGUCUGGACACCAGGGCGACUCCGUGCCCCUCCUCACUGGCUGUGGUUCUGCAGGGGUUUCCUGUGAGUAAGAAACUAUCACCCACACUCUGGCUGUGCACAGAACCUUUGUGUAAGUUGGUGAGGCAGCACCCCCCUUCACCCCCCGGUGCUCUGCCAUUACUAGCAGUUCAUAAGCAGAAACCCACCCUUGACCAUGUGUGAACACGAGAGGGAAUGGAGGAGUUCGGGCCAGGCCUCAGGACCUCAGGACCACUGCACACCCUUACCUCUAACUUCUCAGAGACAUAUUCACACUCGGACAUGAGCUGAGGUAUGAUUUCACUCUGUUUUCGGAGAUCUUUCAACUCCUAAGACACACAGAGAGAGCGGGGAGAGGGAUGGGGGGAGAGAGAGAGAGAGAGAGAGAUUUUAAAGCAUACUCUUGAAAAUUGCCGACUUGUGUAUGCACUAGUGGGUGCUGCUCUGGGAACCUGUCUUGCUCACUUGAAUAACAAUGGAGGGAUGCUAUUCUGACACACCGUAUGACUCUACGGGUGAAUGCAAUAUAUGAUACGUCACCACAUGAAAUUUGUACGCACUGUAAAAUGGCCCAUAGUUUUACAAUUGCUGCUUUGUCAUGGUAAAAACUGAGGCCUGGGGAGGUUUUGUUGACUUGCCCAUGUCUCAGUGCUGUGCGCUUCACUUCCUGUCUCCCAGAAUAUAAAUGACUGAGAACAGAAAGUCUAGUUGCAUGAGCCUGACAGCAGAACUCAUCUUCUGCAGGCCGGUCAUCUGUGAGACCGGCUGGGGCUUUUGGGAAAUCUUUUCUUUUCUUUUUCCCAGAUAGCACCUCCUGUAUCCCAGGCUGGCCUUAAUGAAGAUGGCCUUUGAUCUCCUGAUCCUCCUGCUUCUACGAGCUCUGAGAUUAUAGGUAUGGGCCACCAUGGUGAUUCACACUGUCCCAGGGAUCAAACCCUGGGGCUUUAUGAAUACUAGGCAAGCACUCUACCUACUGAGCUCCAUCACCACCCUGGGUUCACUCUCGAUGCUGUAAAAAGAAGGCUGCAAGCAGCCUGUGGGGCUCUGGGAAAGCUGAACUGUGGUGCAAGCCCUGAUUCUCCAUUCUGAAGUCCAGGCAGUUGCCAGAGUCCUAGGUCGCCUGUCCUGCUUUGAGCAGAGAUCACAGAGGUCGCCAUGCUAGGCCAGGGACACCCGGGGCCCUGCUCAGACCUCAUUACUCACCAUCUCCUUGUCUCGGACCUCUGACUCCAGCUCCUCGAUCCUCCUCUUCAGCUGUGUGUUCUUCUCCUUCUCCCUGUUUAUCUCGCUGCACUGUUCUUCCAGCUCCUCGAUCUUUAAGAAUGGGACAGUUAGGCCACAGUGCUACUUUAGCCAUUGAGCUCCAGCUUGCCAUGAUGACAUUUAUAAUUUCUUUUCAAGUAAGCCAUAACAUUCAGCACUCUAUAGACAUCAUGCAGUUCCUGUUUGCCCCUGCCUGCCCGAGAUUCGAGAGUCCUUACUUAAUCCCAAGAGGGCCGGUAAGUCAUGAAGCCCAGCCUACCCAGCCUAUGUGCCGGGCUUCCGAAUCUCUCUUAGGACCACAUGCAAGUAGAUUCGGGUUUGCUUUAAGGGUCAUCACAGGUCAGAUGUCCCCUGAAUUGAUCUGUUCUUCCCAAGAAUGGCUUCUAUAUCAUUUUAGACAUGUCCUGAAUUACUUGGUUUCAUCUCAAGGGUUUAAGAGAGCCAACUAGGGAAUUUAGCAGCCUCACUGUACAGGAACUACCAAAGAGAAACCAAAAAUAUCUCAGUCACUGAAGAGCAACUGAUCCCCACAUGGAAGGGUCCUGGCUGGGGAGCAGUGUGAGUGGAGUGAUGGGCAAACUCCAGGACUGCAUCUUUUCCUGGGUCUGAGCCCGCAGAAAGGAUGACCAAGCAGAGUAAUAGAACAGAGCCUUUGUAUCCUGACAUCAUCAUCAACUGCUUACUUGGAAACCAAAAUGUGUGUGCAGAGUGGAGGGCGGGAGUGGAGCCAAUAUCCCAUCCAAAAGCAGACACUCCGCACUGCCACACUCAGACGAUGCCAGUCUUUGACAUGAGGCCUUUCUCUGUAGCUGCACCAACCCCAGGACCUAAACCAUCUGUCCCAGCUGACACCGAGUCCAGCUUCUACCUCCAGCCUGGGAAUCAAGUUCCUGAAGAGCUCCUCUGAGGGAGGCCCACGCCCUCCUGAGGAGCCCGCUCUGGGCAAUGCUAGCCCACACCUCAGCAUUGCCUUUGGCUAACACACUCAGACCAGAGGGAGAGAUUCCAUCCUUUGCUGGAAAAGGAGAAGCAAUCGAUCCCUCCGGCAGGCAGGAUCAGCCAGAGCUCAGACAAGAACAUGCAGAGUCAGCAGCUGACCUGAUGCCCUGGCUGUCAGCACACUCAUCAUAGGGAUGGAAAAUAAAAAUGACAAGAGGCAGCUCUGUGGGCAGUCAGUGCCGGAGGAAGGUGGUGACGUGGGGCCACACCACAGUGGCUCUGCCUGGGCCAGUCAGGGCAAGGGAUAUACGUGGGUCAAGAAACAUGUCCCCCGAAAUCCUGCACUUAUGGAGCAUUCUCUGAAGCCCUGUGUGCUCACACUCAGGGGUUAAUGGGCUCAUGCAUCAUGGUCUAAACAGAAACCUGAGGACGUCUCCACGGGCACCCUUGAGCAUCUCAUAGUACCAUCUCGAUGCUUUGCAGAACAACAGAUGAGAGAGACGUUAGAGCUGGCUACAGGGAAAAUCUGAAUAAAACCUAAACCCUCAGUCAUCAGAGCAGGACAACGGAGAGUGUCACACAAUGGAGAGUGUUACUCAGCAGCUGGCACCCACCUUUCUCCCCUCCAAACAUAUUACUCCUUUGCCUUCCAAAUUUACAUUUUUAGAAAUAAUGAUUGGAUGGGAGCAGGGUCUCUGUGGAAACAUACUCAGAGUUUCCUGGACCAAUUUCUCAUUUGUCCUCAGGUUCCCUUCCUUAUCCUGGAGAGCCCAAGCCACAGAGAUGCCGUGGGAAGCCCACCUUCAGCAGGAGGCCAGCCUAGCGGGGGGAUGGGGGGGACCCUUGAUAGGAUUUCUGGCUCACUUAUCUUUUCCUUAGCAACAGGAAAUAAAAGUCAAUAAUUUCC
rnacentral:lncRNA from 1 species